UACGUAGGGGGCAAGCGUUGUCCGGAAUUAUUGGGCGUAAAGGGCGCGCAGGCGGUUUCCUAAGUCUGAUGUGAAAGGCCACGGCUCAACCGUGGAAUGGCAUUGGAAACUGGGGAGCUUGAGUACAGGAGAGGAGAGUGGAAUUCCACGUGUAGCGGUGAAAUGCGUAGAGAUGUGGAGGAACACCAGUGGCGAAGGCGGCUCUCUGGCCUGUAACUGACGCUGAGGCGCGAAAGCGUGGGGAGCGAACAGG
rnacentral:rRNA from 1 species